UACGUAGGCAGCGAGCGUUGUUCGGAGUUACUGGGCGUAAAGAGUGCGUAGGCGGUUUUCUAAGUUUGGUGUGAAAUCUCCCGGCUUAACUGGGAGGGUGCGCCGAAGACUGGAAGGCUUGAGUAUGGGAGAGGUAAGCGGAAUUCCUGGUGUAGCGGUGAAAUGCGUAGAUAUCAGGAAGAACACCCGUGGCGAAGGCGGCUCUCUGGGACGGUACUGACGCUGAGACGCGAAAGCGUGGGGAGCAAACAGG
rnacentral:rRNA from 1 species